UUACAAAAUCUACAGAAAUCCUGUCAGAUGAACAUGUAAAUCCAAUAACAAAAGUUCUAUGUCAAGGUAAUACGCUGAAUAUAGCAUGUCCAAACAACUCUGUAAUAGUUUUUGACUAUGCAAACUAUGGACGUAAACAUUCAGACAGUAAGCGAUGUAGAGAAUUCUUUGGUACUGAGGUAUUUGCUUGUGACAGCCACAAGAGAACACUACAUGUUCUAAAUAAUGAAUGUGGUGAAUCACAAAGAUGUGUUCUCGUUGUAACAACGGAUAAGUUUGGAAAUCAAUGUGUGGGUGUUACAAAGUACCUGGAAGUUAGAUAUCACUGUAAAAGAAAAAUAUACCACGAGGCGACUGGGGUCCCCCAUGACCGAUUUAUUAGUGAACAUCAGAAUGUAACGUCUAUCUGGACCAAUGCUACUCAGACUACAGUCAUAAGCCUUGUAAGUGCCGAAGACAAAUCAGGACAACUUGCAAAAGAGACAGAACAUGUAAUGCAAAACGAUGAAGAAAGCACCAGUGACGAAUUAACCAUUGUCGGAAUUGUACUCGGUGUUGUUGCAGCCUUGAUUAUCUUGGUGAUAGUGACUUUACUUUUCAAAAGAUAUAGGAAAUCAAAACAACGAAAGGUUACAGUACGUACUGAAGAUAUUGAAAUGAAUAUAGAAUCAGAAAACCGGGAUCAGUAUGAUUAUUCUGAAGUAAAUGCACAAUCGAUGGGCAGUAAGGAAAACCAGACGGCUGACAAUGGUGUUCCAAACAGACAGAACCAGAUGGAAAAUGACUAUGAUGUUUCUGCACAUGUGCCUUCAAGAGCAGAAAGUGAACCGUUAACAUAUGACGUCCAUUUGUCCGACAAUACAUAUAACGUAACAGAAACUUCCGGUAAUGAACCCAAAGAUGAUGUAAAUAAUACUUACGAUCAUUUUUUUGGAGAACAAACCGAAGAUCAGUAUGAUAUAGCUGAUAAUAAAGUAAUGGCUGCAACCCAAUGUAAAACAAAUGAGGAUUUAUAUUCUUAACAUAGUUCAAUAAAUUCACAUUUUUGAAUUAAAAUAACAACUGGUUUGUUUCCUUUUUUCUAAAUCUUAUUUAUGUCUCUUAACCAAGAACAAAAAGUAAAAGAAAUGCUAAACCCCCUAUCAUGGAACAUGUUAAAAAUAUUGGCUCCUUUAAAAAACAGUCAUUAGAACUGAGGGCAGAGGUCUUACUAUUUGUUUUCCAUGUGUUCAUUUAUAAUAAAAAUGUUAUUUCUUUGCUAUAUUAUGUUUUGUUUUGUUUUGUCACAAACUAAAUAUGUAUAUAUGACAAUAAAGCUAUUUUUUUAUGGUCA